rnacentral:rRNA from 1 species
AUUGAACGCUGGCGGCAGGCUUAACACAUGCAAGUCGAACGAGUGGCGGACGGGUGAGUAAUGUAUGGGGAUAUGCCUGAUGGAGGGGGAUAACUACUGGAAACGGUAGCUAAUACCGCAUACCAUCAGAUGAACCCAUAUGGGAUUAGCUUGUAGGUGAGGUAACGGCUCCCCUAGGCGACGAUCCCUAGCUUGUCUGAGAUGAUGAUCAGCCCCCCUGGGACUGCGACACGGCCCAGACUCCUACGGGAGGCAGCAGUGGGGAAUAUUUCACAAUGGGCGCAAGCCUGAUGCAGCCAUGCCGCGUGUAUGAAGAAGGCCUUCGGGUUGUAAAGUACUUUCAGUCGGGAGGCGUUACCGACAGAAGAAGCACCGGCUAACUCCGUGCCAGCAGCCGCGGUAAUUC